CUGAAAUCGAUAAAACUGAUGACGCCUCGUCCCGAUUAUGUUUUAUGAUAAAGUUAUGUUUAUUAUAUACUUGUGCUUUUAUCAGGGUCAGAAUAUUGCCCCAAUACAACAAUUAUUAAAAUAGCGGAACAAAAAGCGAUGUCAGUGAUAAAACAUAGGUCCGAUGUAGCGGACGUGCAUCUACUGAAUAGAAUAGUAGUACCAUGGAUAAUAAAAUAAAUGGAUAGGAAACUAGCUGACGUGACCUAAUGUUUUUACUGGGAUUGAUGGCGUGGCUGGGUGCCUCAAAUGCCUCAAAUUUUUAAAUUCCUGGUGAGAGAACUUUCGAGAUAGGCUGUCCGCAUCGAUGUUAAUUUUUCCAGGUAUGUACUUGAUUUCAAAGUCAAAGUCUGACAGCUCUCCAAUCCAUUGCAGCCCGGUUGCAUUUAGCUUUGCCGUCGACAGGACGAAUGUGAGAGGGUUGUUAACUUGUUGUCCGUGUAAACGAUAAAGCGAGGAGAAUAGUAAAGGUUAUCACGAAAUUGUUCCGUCUGACCAUUCCAGGCUAGGAAUUUCGCUCGAUGCUGCUGGUUCCCACAUUCGUUCGAUUGGUAACUGUAUGGAUAACAUCAAUCACAGAUCAACCGGAUGUCUUGGAAACCGAUAGACGUCACUUGGAAACCGAUAGACGUCACAAAUCGAGAGAAUGGCCGUUUUAUACUAGAGACGCAUUGUGCGUCUGGACGAACUUGGGCAAGCAUUUGUUGUUCGCCUGGUUGUGCGUCCUCAGUAUAAAGACGGGCACAAGACGCAUUAUGCAUCUAGACGAACUAUGUUCGAUUCUUCGUCUUAAGAGACGCACAACCGAUGAUAGUUCGUCCAGACGCAUAUGCGUCUUGUGCCCGUCUUUAUACUGAGGACGAAUAACCAGACGAACAAUAAAUGCUGAUAGUUCGUCGGAUUAUUCGUCCCGUCUUUAUACUAGACGAAUAAUAUAGAAGACGCAUUAUGCGUCCAGACGCAUAAUGCGUCUCUAGUAUAAAAACGGCCAAUACGAGUCAAAUUAAGAUGGUGGACAUUGCGAAAGCUCAAAGCGAUGAACGGACUAUAAGAAGAACCGACCUUCGAGGACCGACAACAGGAGCCCCGGGAACUGAAAAGACACCUUCGAGAGUUGAGUAAAUUGCACGACGUCGUGUAUCGUAGUACCGGCAUCGUGUAUCGUAGCCAACAGAUUG